GGAUUAGAUACCCUGGUAGUCCACGCCGUAAACGAUGUCGACUAGCCGUUGGAGUCCUUGAGGCUUUAGUGGCGCAGCUAACGCGAUAAGUCGACCGCCUGGGGAGUACGGCCGCAAGGUUAAAACUCAAAUGAAUUGACGGGGGCCCGCACAAGCGGUGGAGCAUGUGGUUUAAUUCGAUGCAACGCGAAGAACCUUACCAGGUCUUGACAUCCUCGGAACUUAGCAGAGAUGCUUUGGUGCCUUCGGGAACCGAGUGACAGGUGCUGCAUGGCUGUCGUCAGCUCGUGUUG
rnacentral:rRNA from 1 species